UACGUAGGUCCCAAGCGUUAUCCGGAUUUACUGGGCGUAAAGUGUACGUAGCCUGAAAUGAAAGUCUGUCUUCAAAUACCUGGACUCAAUCGAGGAGAGGGGAUAGAUACUUCAUAUCUAGAGAUUGUUGGAGGUUAGUAGAAUUUCCGGUGGAGCGGUGAAAUGCGUUGAUAUCGGAAAGAAUGUCGAAAGCGAAAGCAGCUAACUACAAUAAAUCUGACGGUGAGGUACGAAAGCUUGGGGAGCAAACGGG
rnacentral:rRNA from 1 species